AUUAGAUGAGCCUAUAUUAGAUUAGCUAGUUGGUGGAGUAAUAGCCUACCAAGGCAAUGAUCUAUAGCUGAUCUGAGAGGAUGAUCAGCCACACUGGAACUGAGAUACGGUCCAGACUCCUACGGGAGGCAGCAGUGGGGAAUAUUGGACAAUGGGCGAGAGCCUGAUCCAGCCAUGCCGCAUGAGUGAAGAAGGCCUUUGGGUUGUAAAGCUCUUUUAGUGAGGAAGAUAAUGACGGUACUCACAGAAGAAGUCCUGGCUAACUCCGUGCCAGCAGCCGCGGUAAUACGGAGAGGGCUAGCGUUAUUCGGAAUUAUUGGGCGUAAAGGGCGCGUAGGCUGAUUAAUAAGUUAAAAGUGAAAUCCCGAGGCUUAACCUUGGAAUUGCUUUUAAAACUAUUAAUCUAGAGAUUGAAAGAGGAUAGAGGAAUUCCUGAUGUAGAGGUAAAAUUCGUAAAUAUUAGGAGGAACACCAGUGGCGAAGGCGUCUAUCUGGUUCAAAUCUGACGCUGAGGCGCGAAGGCGUGGGGAGCAAACAGGAUUAGAUACCCUGGUAGUCCACGCUGUAAACGA
rnacentral:rRNA from 1 species